rnacentral:lncRNA from 1 species
UUCAUCAUCAAUGAUAAUGGGAAACUCUCACGAAGACCAUUGCCAUGACUAUCAAGAUUGUGAAAUAUGGUGCAAACAAUAUGUUCCUGAACCUAAAUGUAUUAACCACAUUUGCAAUUGUAGACCUCCACCUUUGACCUCUCGAAGGGCUCUCAAUAUAUUUUGAUUCUUCCAUCUGGAUUAUCGAAUAUGAUGAUGACUUUCUACAUGCAAGCAUCAAAAUAAAUAUUUUUCUAUUGUUUUACUUCAGUAUGUGGUAAUAAAAUAAUAUUUUUAUUUUUUAAUAUCUGAAGUCAGUGUUUAUAUCUUCAUAUAUGAACAAACCCAAUUUUGACCCCAUUUCCAUUAAACAAAUCAAUGGGGCCGAGAUUUUAGAAAAGAUUUAGCGACCACAAAUUUAAUUUAUUGUUCUUAAGUAUGCAGUAACAUAUGUAAUUUUUAGAAGAAUUAGUGAAAUGUUAGGACCACUCUAAAUAUAAAAACAUAAAUUUAAAUAUCAUAAAAUUAAAUAAUCGUGUUAGCUAGUUCUGGAUUCAAAAUUAAAUAAUUGUGAACUAUUUAGGACUUCAAUUUUUUUAUUUCAUGUUUCAUCCCGAAUAUUUCAUAUGAAUCACAGUCGCAGUUAACCCAAAGAGUGCAAAAAAUAUAUAUGAUGAACAUUCAGAGCCGGUCCAGAGUAUAAGCCCAUCAAACAUAUGUUUUAUGAUCAGUAUCCUUAAAUACAUUUUAGAAGCCAUUUUGAUAAAAGAUUGGUUGGUUCAGUUGGCUUUAAGCUAGUCAUAUUGUGCAAAGGCUCGAUUCUUCCACCAUUCUAAUUUUACCGGUGAUAUAUUAGAGAUAAAUUUUUUUAUUUUUGCUUCUAAACCCAAAAUUAUUAGGUCCAGCCUUUGAACACUAUUAUAUAUAUUUGUAUUUUUGGAAUAAUUAUUAUAUACAUUGCCUAUAGUGUUUAUCAUAUAUCACUACAAAUAAAACAGAUUCAAUUUUUAUCUACUUACAAAGAGUGUAGGCUGGACCAUUACAUUUAUUUAAUUUCUAUUAUUUCUCCUACAACUAACUUAGUUAUUGUUAAAUAUUUGUCAUAUCUAACUUAUUCUUUUAAUAUUUUGAAUUAAAAUAUAUAACAAGAUAUUCUUAAGUAUCUUUUUAAGAAUGCAUUUUAAUAAUAUCUUUUAAUAAUUUUUUAUUGAAAUGUAAAUAUAUUAUUUUAAUAUUUAAUUUUAAUAAAAUUCAUAAUGUAUAUUAACUACAAUUAUAAACAAAUAUUAAUUAAAUUUCCAUUAAUAACAUCAAAAGUUUUCUACUAUAAAUUAGUCUAUGGUGUCAAUUCAAUAACUCAAAAACUUUUGUUGUAAACAUUUUUGUGAAUCCAAAGAAGAAAAAAAACCAUGAAGGCCUCAAUUUUCUUCAUCGUUGCAUUGCUUAUUCUCUCAUGUAAGUUACUCCAUAUUUUAAACUAUGAGAUUCAAUUAUGAAGCAUAUAUAUAAAUUUAUUUAAAUCUUUAUAUAUGCAUGAUUUAAUUAUAGGUUCAUCAUCAAUGAUAAUGGGAAACUCUCACGAAGACCAUUGCCAUGACUAUCAAGAUUGUGAAAUAUGGUGCAAACAAUAUGUUCCUGAACCUAAAUGUAUUAACCACAUUUGCAAUUGUAGACCUCCACCUUUGACCUCUCGAAGGGCUCUCAAUAUAUUUUGAUUCUUCCAUCUGGAUUAUCGAAUAUGAUGAUGACUUUCUACAUGCAAGCAUCAAAAUAAAUAUUUUUCUAUUGUUUUACUUCAGUAUGUGGU